UACAGAGGGUGCAAGCGUUACUCGGAAUUACUGGGCGUAAAGCGUGCGUAGGUGGUUCGUUAAGUCUGAUGUGAAAGCCCUGGGCUCAACCUGGGAAUGGCAUUGGAAACUGGCGACCUAGAGUGCGGUAGAGGGCAGUGGAAUUCCCGGUGUAGCAGUGAAAUGCGUAGAGAUCGGGAGGAACAUCUGUGGCGAAGGCGACUGCCUGGACCAGCACUGACACUGAGGCACGAAAGCGUGGGGAGCAAACAGG
rnacentral:rRNA from 1 species